AGUCGGUGAUGCACCCAGUCAGUCAGUAUGCACUAAUGCAGCCUUUCUUAAAGUUGGGUCACGGACCUGUUAAUGGUGGGUCGUGACGUGUCAGUGUAAAUACAUCAUUAUUUCAUGAAUUACUGGAAUUGAUUUGUCCAAGUGCAUCUGCGCUCUCUGUACGGUGCGCGUUCUGCUUAAGCAGCGUCUCUGCUCAGUUUGGCAGCUGCACCAGUGUGAGAGGGAGAUGCCUGUGUACAUCGGAGUUGUGUACCUGAUCUCCUUUUCUGCAGUUUUCUUGAAGAUCCCUCGGCUCCACACGACGCAGCGCUGUCGUUCAGAUUGUUGGCAUGUUAUAACAGUUUUCCUUAAAUGGCCUUCUGAAUAGGAAUGGACCAGGGUUUGAGGCUGCGUGUUGCUACUGAUGUCCACCUGACAGCACUGUAGAGAUCACAAUGGGGGUGGAGCUGGAGAGCACCAGGCUGGUGAUCAGGUACCCAGACAGCUAAAUGCAGAGAACCCCUCCCUCUCCUCAGAGGACCAACCCUAUAGGCCUCAACACCUCCCCAGCCUCCCAGUACGCCUCCCCAGGG